rnacentral:ncRNA from 2 species
UUCGCCGAGGGGCGCUGCGACCGUGACUUCGAGCACGGCCAGGCUUGGCGGGACCGAUGGGCACGUCCAGUUCCAAUGGCACGCCCGUCCGCAACAACGGCGCCCGGUUGCC